AUUGAACGCUGGCGGCAGGCUUAACACAUGCAAGUCGAGCGGUAACAGGGGGUGCUUGCACCCCCGCUGACGAGCGGCGGACGGGUGAGUAAUGCUUAGGAAUCUGCCCAGUAGUGGGGGAUAGCCCGGGGAAACCCGGAUUAAUACCGCAUACGUCCUACGGGAGAAAGCAGGGGAUCUUCGGACCUUGCGCUAUUGGAUGAGCCUAAGUCGGAUUAGCUAGUUGGUGGGGUAAAGGCCUACCAAGGCGACGAUCCGUAGCUGGUCUGAGAGGAUGAUCAGCCACAUCGGGACUGAGACACGGCCCGAACUCCUACGGGAGGCAGCAGUGGGGAAUAUUGGACAAUGGGGGCAACCCUGAUCCAGCCAUGCCGCGUGUGUGAAGAAGGCUUUCGGGUUGUAAAGCACUUUCAGCGAGGAGGAAGGCCUUAAAGUUAAUACCUUUGAGGAUUGACGUUACUCGCAGAAGAAGCACCGGCUAACUCCGUGCCAGCAGCCGCGGUAAUACGGAGGGUGCAAGCGUUAAUCGGAAUUACUGGGCGUAAAGCGCGCGUAGGUGGUUAGGUAAGCGAGAUGUGAAAGCCCCGGGCUUAACCUGGGAACGGCAUUUCGAACUGUCUGACUAGAGUGUGGUAGAGGGUAGUGGAAUUUCCUGUGUAGCGGUGAAAUGCGUAGAUAUAGGAAGGAACACCAGUGGCGAAGGCGGCUACCUGGACCAACACUGACACUGAGGUGCGAAAGCGUGGGGAGCAAACA
rnacentral:rRNA from 1 species